GGUAAAUGUUGGUGCUAGUGGCAGGUGUUGUCACAGUGGUAAAUGUUGGUGCUAGUGGCAGGUGUUGUCAGUAGUAAUGGUAGUGCUAGUGGCAGGUGUUGUCACAGUGGUAAAUGUUGGUGCUAGUGGCAGGUGUUGUCAGUAGUAAUGGUAGUGCUAGUGGCAGGUGUUGUCACAGUGGUAAAUGUUGGUGCUAGUGGCAGGUGUUGUCAGUAGUAAUGGUAGUGCUAGUGGCAGGUGUUGUUACAGUGGUAAAUGUUGGUGCUAGUGGCAGGUGUUGUUACAGUGGUAAAUGUUGGUGCUAGUGGCAGGUGUUGUUACAGUGGUAAAUGUUGGUGCUAGUGGCAGGUGUUGUCACAGUGGUAAUGUUGGUGCUAGUGGCAGGUGUUGUCAGUAGUAAUGGUAGUGCUAGUGGCAGGUGUUGUCACAGUGGUAAAUGUUGGUGCUAGUGGCAGGUGUUGUCAGUAGUAAUGGUAGUGCUAGUGGCAGGUGUUGUCAGUAGUAAUGGUAGUGCUAGUGGCAGGUGUUGUCAGUAGUAAUGGUAGUGCUAGUGGCAGGUGUUGUCAGUGGUAAUGGUAGUGCUAGUGGCAGGUGUUGUCAGUGGUAAUGGUAGUG